GGACGGCCAGUUCUGCCUAAAUGGAAAGCACCCYUAAGUGAGARAAUCUCAGAACGGACAGAAAUGAAAUGAUAAUAACAUGUAACAAUUUCAACACUUCUUGCUAAUUGAUUUUAAGGCCAAGAGUUUCAAAAAUCCCUAACUUGGGUGUUUUGGGUCGAUUCAAUCCCCGAAACARCUAUGUAUAGUUGAUAAAACCUGUUUAUUUUAUGUCAGUGAAAAUUUAAGAUUAAUAUGAUCAUUUAUAUUUUUUGAUAUUACAGGUUGCCAAACAGUUCAUUCGUUUUGGUUCUGUUGAUGUCAAAAUCAUUGAUCCACACAAUGGUCUUGUAGCAGUUGCUCAUCACAGAAGAGUGAAGGAUGUUCUAAGUCUUGUAAAAAAGAACAAAAAAACUAUUGUACGAUUGUAUAACCCGCUGUAUGACUCACCGACGAUGAAGACCAUCAUUUGGUCUGGAGGAGCUCUUUUGACGGUAUCCAUUUUUGUGGGCAGUGGGAUCCUUAUAUGGAAAGUAUUAAAAUGACUGAAUCUAUUCCAAUUAUGUUGCCUUGACAGCAAUGGCGSACUAAUGAAUUCAUUUUUCUUUAUAAAUAAUAACUAUUCCAGUUAUGAAGUUUGGAAUUACGAAAAUGCUCAGAGCGAGUGAUGGUACAUAGAUCGAUCAUUUGGAAGUCCAAGAACUUAACUAUACGCUUUUAUACAAUUCAGGGACUGUGUGUAUACUAUAAGGUCAAAAGAUUUCAUAAGCAUGUAUCGUUUGUUAAAAUAAAAUUGUAUUUAAUU